rnacentral:rRNA from 1 species
AGCGAACGCUGGCGGCAGGCCUAACACAUGCAAGUCGAACGGACUCUUCGUAGUUAGUUGCGGUCGGGUGAGUACCACGUGGGAACGUGCCUUUUGGUUCCGAAUCCCUCAGUUUAACUUGUGCUCAUACCGAAUGUGCCCUUCGGGGGUAAGAUUUCUCGCCAUUUGGGCGGCCCGCGUCUGAUUAGCUGGUUGGGGAGGUAACGGCACAGCAAGGCGUGGAUCGUUAGCUGGUCGGAGAGGAUGACCAGCCACACUGGGAGUGAGACACGGCCCAGACUCCUACGGGAGGGAGGAGUGGGGAAUCUUGCGCAAUGGGCGAAAGCCUGACGCAGCCAUGCCGGGUAAAUGAUGAAGGUCGUAGGAUUGUAAAAUUCUUUCACCGGGGACGAUAAUGACGGUACCCGGAGAAGAAGCCCCGGCUAACUUCGUG